UACAGAGGUCCCAAGCGUUGUUCGGAUUCAUUGGGCGUAAAGGGUGCGUAGGUGGCGCCAUAAGUCAGGUGUGAAAUCUCGGGGCUCAACCCCGAAACUGCAUUUGAUACUGUGGUGCUCGAGUACUGGAGAGGAGAUUGGAAUUUACGGUGUAGCAGUGAAAUGCGUAGAUAUCGUAAGGAAGACCAGUGGCGAAGGCGAAUCUCUGGACAGUUACUGACACUGAGGCACGAAGGCCAGGGGAGCAAACGGG
rnacentral:rRNA from 1 species